rnacentral:rRNA from 1 species
AUGAACGCUAGCGACAGGCUUAACACAUGCAAGUCGAGGGGUAACAGGGUAGCAAUACCGCUGACGACCGGCGCACGGGUGAGUAACGCGUAUGCAACCUGCCUAUAACUGGGGAAUAGCUCCCUGAAAGGGGAAUUAACACCGCAUAACACUAUUGAUUCGCAUGGAUUGGUAGUUAAAUGUAGCGAUACAGGUUAUAGAUGGGCAUGCGUGACAUUAGCUAGUUGGUGAGGUAACGGCUCACCAAGGCUACGAUGUCUAGGGGUUCUGAGAGGAAGGUCCCCCCACACUGGUACUGAGACACGGACCAGACUCCUACGGGAGGCAGCAGUGAGGAAUAUUGGUCAAUGGGCGCAAGCCUGAACCAGCCAUGUCGCGUGCAGGAAGAACCUGCCCUAUGGGUUGUAAACUGCUUUUAUAGUAGAAGAAACACAUCUACGUGUAGAUGUCUGCCAGUAUACUAUGAAUAAGCAUCGGCUAACUCCGUGCCAGCCGCGGC